rnacentral:rRNA from 1 species
AUUGAACGCUGGCGGCGUGCUUAACACAUGCAAGUCGAUCGGUAACAGGUGUAGCAAUACAUGCUGACGAGAGGCGGACGGGUGAGGAAUAUUUGGGAAUCUGCCCAUCAGCGGGGGACAACCCGGGGAAACCCGGGCUAAUACCGCAUACGCUCUACGGAGGAAAGCCGGGGACCGCAAGGCCUGGCACUGAUGGAUGAGCCCAAAUCGGAUUAGCUAGUUGGCGGGGUAACGGCCCACCAAGGCGACGAUCCGUAGCUGGUCUGAGAGGACGAUCAGCCACACCGGAACUGAGGCACGGUCCGGAAUCCUACGGGAGGCAGCAGUGGGGAAUAUUGGACAAUGGGGGAAACCCUGAUCCAGCGACGCCGCGUGGGUGAAGAAGGCCUGCGGGUUGUAAAGCCCUUUCGGUAGGGACGAAAGCUCUUGCUCUAAUAAUGCAGGAGGUUGACUUAACCUACAUAAGAAGCACCGGCUAACUCUGUGCCAGCCGCCGCGGUAAUAC